CUGGCUGGGGCCGUUGGAGCUGCAGACAGCUGCCGGGAGCGCUGAGGGAGGCCAAGCCUGCACCCAGGGUGGGUCGACUGAAACAAAGGGGACCAGAAGGUGGGCGCCCAGGAGCAGGUGCCGUGGGGACACCGGCCCACCAGCGCCCUGGAUCCUGAGGGGCGAGGAAUCCAGCCCGGAGCCCGCAGCCGCGCGAGGCCGAGGCCCGGGCUGAUGAGCGAGAGCCGGGGCGCCCCAGGGUCCCCUCCUGCCUCGGGCCGCCCGCGCGGCAAGGAGUGUGUCUGGGUGCAGGAGGAGGCCGAGCCCGCUGGACUGUCCUCGGGAGAGUCCGGCCCACAGGGGGCUCGGCUCGCCCCCAAGUCCGGGGCCGCGUCUGCUCAGAGGCCGGAGGCGCCCGCCGCCUCGCCGCGGCAGCCGCGGGACAAGCGCGGGCUCCUGGACUGGACACAGUUUCCCGCCUCCCUGUGGCUGUUUCCCGACCUGUUGGAGCACAGGCUCCAGUUUUAGAGGCUGUGGAGGACUGGGGCAGGGCACGGCUCCGACUUCAGGGUCUGACAGCUGUGCUUUCUCCAAACACUCAUCCAGGGAGCUGGGGGCCAGGUGGCCUUUGUCGGUUCUCCUCUUUCCUCCUGAAGUCAGGGCCUGGACCGGCUGCCCUGCUCAACCUCAGGAACCUCCUUUUUACUUUUAUUUUAUGAUUAGUUGCCUUUGGUCUCCUCAUUCCUCCAUGGGGUGCACUGAGGCCCCUGCAUUUGCUCACGCCUUCCUGUAUCCAUACUCUUGGGGAACCCUCCCACCCUGAGCCUGGGCUUGGACUGGUGACUUCUUUUGGCCGAUGGGACAUAGGAAAGGCGAUGCAAAAGGAAACUCGAAAAUUUCUUGCUGCUCCUGGAAACCUGCCUCCAUAUAAGCAAACCCUGGCUAUUCUGACAGACGACAUGGCCCAGCACCCCCAAAGACUGAGCUGAGAUCCCAGCUGAGAGAGAGGCCAUCUGGGAUCCUCCAGCCCAUCUCCCAGCGCACCUGCCACUUGGCCCCAGACAAGAAAAAAAAAAGUGGCAUAGAUAUCCCUGCCCUUGGAUGCCUUUUGACUUGUCUUCUCUCCAAAUCACAGAAUUGCUGCUGGCAGAGGGGACCUUAAUGCCACCUAGACCCACUCCCAUUGCACGGGAAUGCUUUCAGAGGAGUCAAGCCUUGCAGCCUCUUCCUUGACAUUCAAACCAGAGCAGAGCCUGACAGGAAUCACUCACAUCUGGUCCACAUGGCAUCAGCUGAGAUGGCUCCAAUCAAGACUGGACAAUCCACUUUCAAUACAGAUCACCCACAUGGCUGGCAGGUUACUGCUGGCUGCUGGCUGGCUGCUCAGCUGGUCUGGGGCCUGGGCGUGAGGGGCCUUGCUUCCUCUCCGGUGGGCUUCUCCUCAGCUGCUUGGGUUUCCUCACUGGAGGAUGGCUGAGGUCCCAGAGCAAAUGUCCCAAGAGAUCCAGACAAAAGGGGGUGGUGCUUUUAUGCUCUAUCCUUGGAAUCACAUAGCAUACAAUUCCAUUGCACCUUGUUAGUUGAGGGGGUCACAAAGUUCCACCCAGGUUAAAAGGAAGGGGACAUAGAUUGCACCCAUGGGGUAGUGGCACGGUCAUGUUGUAAGAUGAGCAUGUGGGAUGAGAGAGGUUCUUAUAUUCUAAAGUCAGUAUUUACCUCUUUCAUUAACAAAGACCUUGAAACACAUUGUCUUCCACAUGUCCCCUAUGCUCUUUGUAUAUAUUUAGUUGAAUGCUUUUAUUUUGCUUGGUUUUACCCCAUAAAUUAGACAUUUUGAUUUCUAUAAUGUUUGAACCAACGAAUACAUCUCUAAAGAAUAUAGCUUACUUUUGCUUGUUUUUGAACUUUUUACAAAUGGAAUCACAUGUUAGGAAUGAUUUUUGUUCACGCCUCUUUUGCUCAAAGUGUAAGUGUCUAAGACUUAUGCAUGUCACUGCAUGUAGCUGUGCCUUGUUCGUUUUCAUUGUUGCCUGGCUCUCUGUGCUAUAACAGAUGACAGUUUACCAGCUGCGCUGUAGAUGGACUCUGGGCCAUUUCCAGGUUUGUUGAUUAGAAUUCACAUAUCCUAGUGCAAAUGUGCAUGAGUUUCUUUGAUGUGUACCCCCAAGAGGGAUAUUGCAGAUGCUUCUAUUACUACAUAAUACCAAACUGUACCAAUUUCUACUCCCACUGGCUAGUAUGAGAAUUCCUGUUCCAAAGCCCUGUUGCUAUAAUCUGAUUUUGCCAGAUUUUUUUCUUGUUUAUGGUAAGUUUGUAAUGGAAAACACUACCUUUAAUCUUACCUUAAUCUCUGCUGACUGCAUGCUAUCUUCCCAAAGAACCAGUGUUAUCUCCUCCUGAUGCAUAGCUCAUAGCUGCCUGACUUGGUUGUACAGAAGUGUUCUGCUGAGGAUAUGGCAGAGCAGAGAGAGAACAUGCCUGUAUUAGCAAAACUCUGCAUCCUUCCAUUUCUGCUUGCAGGCUGGCUAGAUUUAGCUAGAGUUCCUGUCUCUUAUAGGACUUAGAGCAGUCAAAAAAAAAUUGUCUACAUAAGCCAUCAUUCUGGAUCUUUCCUACCAUUUCCUUAAUGCCACAGAUUUUGUCAAAUUGUGGUCUACCCUCCAAAGUAAUGCAAGCCUCGAAACCUAACCGAAGAUUUUACCACCAUGUAAUGUGAGGCGCCAGCUUUUCAACCUGGGCCCAGCUGAAAUUCAGGGGAUCUAUUACUAUGGAAAAAGGGAAGAUGGACAUCGGUGGACCACUAACAAUCUUGGCCACAGCUUCCUUCUGGCAUCACUUUUUUUGUCCUUGUUAACUUGUUUUCUGGAAAAGUCUUUAUAUUGUCCUAAUUCUUGGAUAGCAGAGCUGGGUUGACUAUUCUUUUUUCUCAUUCUACUGUCUUCUAGCUGUCACUGUUAAUGGGGAACAGUUGGGUGUCCUUCUUUUUCUCCUAGCUCCUUUCAAGAACACUUUUGUAUUUGGCAUUUCCAUGAUUCCUCAACAAUGUAACCAAGAAGUAAGUUAUUAUAAAUUGGUCCUACUUGGUACACAUUGGGAUUCCUGAAUUUGUAGAUUGAUGAGAAUUUCAGAAAAUUCUCAGCCUUUUCUCUUUCAUGCUGACUUUCCCCAUUUUCUCUCUUCUCUCUCUUUGGAACUCCAACUGGAUGUUUGACUUUCUCAUUUUACCCUCUGUAUAUCUUAAUUUCUCUUUCCUCUUGUUUAUUCCUCUGUCUCUAUUCUCCUUGUAAUUUCUUCAUAUAUUUUUCUAGUUCACCAAACUCCUCUCCAAUACUAUCUUAUUGUUUAAUCUUCCCAUUGUAUUUUAAAUUGUGAUAUUUUUCAUUUCUAAAUUGCGAAAAGUAUUAAUAAUUAGACAUUGUGUUUUAAAAAACAAUUUAAUUAACAGAAUUAUAUCUAUGUGAAAUGAUAUACACUAAUAUAAUAAGAAUCCUCUAUAAGGGAUUUUAAAACAAACAUCAAAUCCACCCAUUCAUUCCUUCAGGCUUGAAAGCCUGUGAGGGCCCUGUGCAGUCCUGUGUACGGCCAUAAUGGUCUGGAAGAGUAUCUUCCCAUGAGGAAGGUGGUAACUUUCUCUUGCAAAUCAUAAAUGGAAGACACCCUUGGGUUGGGAUAGGGUAUCGGAUAGAAGGAAAUGCAGAGGUUAGUGGCUAUGGAGGUGGUGGUGGGCUUUCCAGUGGGGACAUGAUGAUGGACACUUCUCGCAACAUUGGGUGCUCUUUACACCAGUGCGAACUGAGGGGGGGCACUCCUUGGACCAUUGUCUUUCAGUGAGGGGACAGCAGGGGACAGAACUGGGUUAGAUGUCUGUGCAGUUAGAGCUUUUACUCUUGUUCCUCAUUUCCAGAAAUAUCUAAAGGAGAAAAGAGGAAAAACUUAGGUGUGUUUUCCAUGGAUUGAGUGGUAGAGGUCUACACCUUUCACACAGCAUGGGCUCCAAGAGACUCCGUGGCUUCUGGUAAAGGCUUCCAGGUCCCCAUGAGGGUAGAACCUCUCUUUGCUCCACUUGAUGAGGCUGGGCUGAGACUCCUCCUUUCAGAGGCAUUUCUUUGCUCUCUUUUGAUUCUCUCCAAUGAUUCUCUCCAUCUGUCUCUCUUUUCUAUAGCCUAAUGCCUGUGAUUCUUGCUUUAGACCUUUUUUGGGUUCCCAUAAUCCUUACUUCUGUUCCUAUAGAAAAUGGUUUACUUGUUAACUUCUUAGUUACCUGGCUUCCCAUUCAAAAUGUAACUACCCUAAGGUUACAAGCUUGGUCUUCAUUCACUGCUGUAUCCCCAGUGCUUAGAAUAAUGUAUGGUCCAGAGUAAGUGCUUUAUAAAUAUUUUCUGACUGUUGAAUUCUUAUUUUACUUGAGAUACUUUGCAAAGGUAGAAUUGGGUAAUUUUUGGAUCAUUCCUAAGUAAAUCCCACUGAAAUGAGCAUGUGCAGAAGUGCAGCAGGUUCUGCUCUACUAAAUGAGUACAAUGUUUGGCAAGGAUGUUCGGAGCAGGCUUUUCAUGGAUGGAAUUCAGUAAUCUCAUCUCUGCCUUGCACAAAAGGUCUGGACUGCUCGGGAAGGGUCAGAAACCCCAUGGCAAUAGUGACAUUUACCAGUGGAUAUCUGUGUUAUCUAGAAUAUGGGUUGAGCUGUUCCAACAGGAUUCCUAAGAGUAGUUUCUUAAAAGGGUACAAUUUAAAAUAUCUUGAGUAUCUAGGCAUAAACUUACUAAAAGAUUAUGAUCUUUAUAAAAGAUUGCAACAUUUUAUUGAGGGAGGGACAUAAACAUGAGAAACUGACAAGAUAUAUAGAUCGUUCAUGGAUUGAAAACUUAAUAUUGUAAAUCAGUCAAUAUUGCUUUAAAUUAUAGAAACAAUGCAAUCCCAACUGGCUUUAUGCUGGAUCUGUACUAGCUGGUUAAAAAAUGUAUAUGACAACUCAGAAGGAUCAAUAAUAGCCAAGACUCUCUUGGAGAAAAGAAGGAAGGCAAGAGGAUUGCCCUUACCUGUUGCCGCAGUAGAUUAUUGAAUUCUAGUAAAGAGGAAGGACAGUGUGGCAUUGGCCCAGGGACAGAGUCAUAGAGUGGGGGAGAAUAGAGGCCAGAAUAAGACCCUGCAUGGAUGGACCCUGGGUUUUUGAGAGGCAACAGUUCUGUGCAGUGAAGAAAGGACAGUGUUUUCAAUAGAAAAUGCUAAGGUUUAUGGCUGUGUUUUCACAGGAUUUUAUAUAUGAUAGUGAAACCAUCUGAUGUUAUCUGGUGAAGUCAGUGGGGAAAUUCCUGUGCAUCACGAUCUCACAAAAAUGUUCAAAGUAGCUCUGUUGAUAACGGCCAGAAUGUGGAAACAACUCAAAUGGCCACUGCAGUACCCUGAUGUCACGGCCGACUCUACAGGAGCAUGGCGACCAAGGAUGAAAAGCACAAAAACAACACUGAAGGAAAGAAGCAAGUCACACAGGAAGAUAUGCUAUGAUCCACUUAUAGGAAGCUCAAAAACAAACAGGAAAACCAAACAAUUCUUGAUUGAAAAGGGCAUAAUUAGGAUGUAUUAGGAAAAUGCGUGCUUGUUGUCCAGAGUCCUGCGGAAGAAGCCCCUGAGGUACUUAAGAAACAGAAGAAACGGAGUACUCUACAAAGUUCUGUAUGGGAUUUUCUCUAAGCUUAGGAGACAAAGCCCCAAGAAGUGCAUCAGGAGUUCAGAGCUGUGAUAGGAACAUGUAAAAUCUUAAGCUAGAGGGUAGAUCUCAGGUUAAGUGUUCUUUCCACAAUAAAGAAAAACAAAAC
ensembl:lncRNA